rnacentral:rRNA from 1 species
GACGAACGCUGGCGGCGUGCUUAACACAUGCAAGUCGAACGGAAAGGCCCUGCUUUUGUGGGGUGCUCGAGUGGCGAACGGGUGAGUAACACGUGAGUAACCUGCCCUUGACUUUGGGAUAACUUCAGGAAACUGGGGCUAAUGCCGGAUAGGAGCUCCUGCUGCAUGGUCGGGGUUGGAAAGUUUCGGCGGUUGGGGAUGGACUCGCGGCUUAUCAGCUUGUUGGUGGGGUAGUGGCUUACCAAGGCUUUGACGGGUAGCCGGCCUGAGAGGGUGACCGGCCACAUUGGGACUGAGAUACGGCCCAGACUCCUACGGGAGGCAGCAGUGGGGAAUAUUGCACAAUGGGCGGAAGCCUGAUGCAGCAACGCCGCGUGCGGGAUGACGGCCUUCGGGUUGUAAACCGCUUUCGCCUGUGACGAAGCGUGAGUGACGGUAAUGGGUAAAGAAGCACCGGCUAACUACGUG